rnacentral:rRNA from 1 species
AGCGAACGCUGGCGGCAGGCCUAACACAUGCAAGUCGAACGAACUCUUCGGAGUUAGUGGCGGACGGGUGAGUAACACAUGGGAACGUGCCUUUAGGUUCGGAAUAACUCAGGGAAACUUGUGCUAAUACCGAAUGUGCCCUUCGGGGGAAAGAUUUAUCGCCUUUAGAGCGGCCGGCGUCUGAUUAGAUAGUUGGUGAGGUAACGGCUCACCAAGGCGACGAUCAGUCGCUGGUCUGAGAGGAUGGCCAGCCACACUGGGACUGAGACACGGCCCAGACUCCUACGGGAGGCAGCAGUGGGGAAUCUUGCGCAAUGGGCGAAAGCCUGACGCAGCCAAGCCGCGUGAAUGAUGAAGGUCUUAGGAAUGUAAAAUUCUUUCACCGGGGACGAUAAUGACGGUACCCGGAGAAGAAGCCCCGGCUAACUUCGUGCCAGCAGCCGCGGUAA